rnacentral:rRNA from 1 species
UACGUAGGGGGCGAGCGUUAUCCAGAUUUACUGGGCGUAAAGCGCGUGUAGGCGGCUGGUUAGGUGUGAUGUGAAAUCCUCGGGCUCAACCCGAGAACUGCAUUGCAAACCGGCCUGGCUAGAGUGCAGGAGAGGGAAGCGGAAUUCCAGGUGUAGCGGUGAAAUGCGUAGAUAUCUGGAGGAAUACCGGUGGCGAAGGCGGCAUCCUGGACCGGCAUUGACGCUGAGGAGCGAAAGCCAGGGGAGCAAACGGG